rnacentral:pre_miRNA from 10 species
AGUCUGUGCUCGCCCCAGUAAACAUUCAACGCUGUCGGUGAGUUUGGGAUUAAAUUGGCACAAAACCAUCGACCGUUGAUUGUACCCUGUGGCCAGCCCUUGUCCCUCCA